rnacentral:lncRNA from 1 species
GGGCUUGGCAGAGAGUGAGGACGGCACAGGCCCCACGAUUUUAAUCAUUAAAUGUGAUCCUUAUUAUUUCGACGGCAAGGCUACGGAAGUGAACACACAGGGGCCGGCGUCGAAGAAAGGGAGUCGUGGAGGGGAGUGCAGUCGAUCGAACCAGCCACGAAAUGUACUGAACGCUCACUUAGGUCCGGAGCCCUGGACUGGCGCUUAGUACGGUGCUCUGCACACAGUAAGUGCUAAACAAUCGUCAUCCUGAUAAUCAUGGCAUUCAUGAAGCGCUUUCUAUCUGCCAGACACUGUACUAAGCGCUGGAGGGGGGAUACAAAGCAGAUCGGGUAGGACACAGUCCCUGUCCCACGUGGGGCUCCCAGUCUCCAUCCCUAUUUUACAGGUGAGGGAACUGAGGCCCAGAGAAGUGAAGCCAGUUGCCCAAGGCCACACAGCGGACAAGUGGCGGAGCCCAGAUUGCAACUCAUGACCUUCUUUCUGUCUCCCAGGCCUAUCCGCUAAGGUAAAUACGAUCGACUAAACGCUCAGGAGCGUUCAACGCAACAGAGCGAGUAUAGAUGAUGCCGGUCCCCGGGGAGCUUAGCCAUGAUGGCACCUGGAGAAUGAAGGUUACGUGCUGAAAAUCAUCAUCUCCCUAAUCAAGUCAAGUAUGAAUCAGUAGGAUCAUCUGGGAAUAUAAACUAUGAAACAGUCCCAGAAGCCCUGGCCAGAGAGGUGGGAAGCCUGAAGUCUAAGCCUGGAAGGCUCAUCCUUGCACCUUCCCUAGGAGAACCCAAGUCUCUCUGUGUCACAGAUAGUCAACAAUUCAGGCCAACUUGCCCUACAUGAAAGCAGGUAAAGGAGCAGCACGGCCCUAGUGGGUAGAGCAUGAGCCUGGGAGUCAGAGUACCUGGGUUCCGACCAUGGCUC